GACGAACGCUGGCGGCGUGCCUAAUACAUGCAAGUAGAACGCUGAAGGAGGAGCUUGCUUCUCUGGAUGAGUUGCGAACGGGUGAGUAACGCGUAGGUAACCUGCCUGGUAGCGGGGGAUAACUAUUGGAAACGAUAGCUAAUACCGCAUAAUAGUAGAUGUUGCAUGACAUUUGCUUAAAAGGUGCAAUUGCAUCACUACCAGAUGGACCUGCGUUGUAUUAGCUAGUUGGUGAGGUAACGGCUCACCAAGGCAACGAUACAUAGCCGACCUGAGAGGGUGAUCGGCCACACUGGGACGGGGACACGGCCCAGAGUCCUACGGGAGGCAGCAGUAGGGAAUCUUCGGCAAUGGACGGAAGUCUGAGCGAGCAACGCCGCGGGAGUGAAGAAGGUUUUCGGAUCGUAAAGCUCUGUUGUAAGAGAAGAACGAGUGUGAGAGUGGAAAGUUCACACUGUGACGGUAGCUUACCAGAAAGGGACGGCUAACUACGUG
rnacentral:rRNA from 1 species